rnacentral:rRNA from 1 species
UACGAAGGGGGCUAGCGUUGCUCGGAAUUACUGGGCGUAAAGGGCGCGUAGGCGGAUGUCUAAGUCGGGGGUGAAAUCCCAGGGCUCAACCCUGGAACAGCCUUCGAUACUGGAUAUCUUGAGUUCGGAAGAGGUAAGUGGAAUGCCGAGUGUAGAGGUGAAAUUCGUAGAUAUUCGGCGGAACACCAGUGGCGAAGGCGACUUACUGGUCCGAUACUGACGCUGAGGCGCGAAAGCGUGGGGAGCAAACAGG